UACGUAGGUGGCAAGCGUUAUCCGGAUUUAUUGGGCGUAAAGGGAACGCAGGCGGUCUUUUAAGUCUGAUGUGAAAGCCUUCGGCUUAACCGGAGUAGUGCAUUGGAAACUGGGAGACUUGAGUGCAGAAGAGGAGAGUGGAACUCCAUGUGUAGCGGUGAAAUGCGUAGAUAUAUGGUAGAACACCAGUGGCGAAAGCGGCUCUCUGGUCUGUAACUGACGCUGAGGUUCGAAAGCGUGGGUAGCAAACAGG
rnacentral:rRNA from 1 species